GUGAGUAUCGACUUCGCGCUCCAAGAGAUCGAACAUUGGCGCGCGCUCCAGCCGCGUGAAAUGGAUACCAGUUUGGAACGCGCGCCAAAAUGUUCGUUGGAGCGGUCGAACGCGGAGCGGUCCGUUCCGUCGGGUGUCGGUUUUUUACCGCGCAUCAAACGUGGCGCGCGCGCCAAUGGAGACGGGUUUGUCGUAUUUUUUGUGUUUGUUGCGCUCCGAGUAAUAAUUAUGGAUAACCAAAGUUGCCGUAAAUUAAUUCAGCA